CGUGUAGGCGGUUUGUUAAGUCUGUUGUGAAAGCCCUGGGCUCAACCCAGGAAGUGCACUGGAUACUGGCAGACUUGAAUACGGGAGAGGGUAGUGGAAUUCCUAGUGUAGGAGUGAAAUCCGUAGAUAUUAGGAGGAACACCGGUGGCGAAGGCGGCUGCCUGGACCGAUAUUGACGCUGAGACGCGAAAGCGUGGGUAGCAAACAG
rnacentral:rRNA from 1 species